rnacentral:tRNA from 1 species
GGCCAGCUGGCCUAAUGGCCUCAGGCGCCUGUCUACGAAACAGGAGAUUCUGGGUUCGAGUCCCAGGUUGGUCU